GUGGGUAUAGCUCAGUGGUAAAGUGCAUGCUUAGCAUGCACGAGGUCCUGGAUUCAAUUCCUAGUACCUCCA
rfam:Camelus ferus unplaced genomic scaffold scaffold1185, whole genome shotgun sequence.